rnacentral:rRNA from 1 species
ACUUAAAUUGAAGAGUUUGAUCAUGGCUCAGAUUGAACGCUGGCGGCAGGCCUAACACAUGCAAGUCGAGCGGUAGCACAGAGAGCUUGCUCUCGGGUGACGAGCGGCGGACGGGUGAGUAAUGUCUGGGAAACUGCCUGAUGGAGGGGGAUAACUACUGGAAACGGUAGCUAAUACCGCAUAAUGUCGCAAGACCAAAGUGGGGGACCUUCGGGCCUCAUGCCAUCAGAUGUGCCCAGAUGGGAUUAGCUAGUAGGUGGGGUAAUGGCUCACCUAGGCGACGAUCCCUAGCUGGUCUGAGAGGAUGACCAGCCACACUGGAACUGAGACACGGUCCAGACUCCUACGGGAGGCAGCAGUGGGGAAUAUUGCACAAUGGGCGCAAGCCUGAUGCAGCCAUGCCGCGUGUGUGAAGAAGGCCUUCGGGUUGUAAAGCACUUUCAGCGGGGAGGAAGGCGUUAAGGUUAAUAACCUUGGCGAUUGACGUUACCCGCAGAAGAAGCACCGGCUAACUCCGUGCCAGCAGCCGCGGUAAUACGGAGGGUGCAAGCGUUAAUCGGAAUUACUGGGCGUAAAGCGCACGCAGGCGGUCUGUCAAGUCGGAUGUGAAAUCCCCGGGCUCAACCUGGGAACUGCAUUCGAAACUGGCAGGCUAGAGUCUUGUAGAGGGGGGUAGAAUUCCAGGUGUAGCGGUGAAAUGCGUAGAGAUCUGGAGGAAUACCGGUGGCGAAGGCGGCCCCCUGGACAAAGACUGACGCUCAGGUGCGAAAGCGUGGGGAGCAAACAGGAUUAGAUACCCUGGUAGUCCACGCCGUAAACGAUGUCGAUUUGGAGGUUGUGCCCUUGAGGCGUGGCUUCCGGAGCUAACGCGUUAAAUCGACCGCCUGGGGAGUACGGCCGCAAGGUUAAAACUCAAAUGAAUUGACGGGGGCCCGCACAAGCGGUGGAGCAUGUGGUUUAAUUCGAUGCAACGCGAAGAACCUUACCUGGUCUUGACAUCCACAGAACUUUCCAGAGAUGGAUUGGUGCCUUCGGGAACUGUGAGACAGGUGCUGCAUGGCUGUCGUCAGCUCGUGUUGUGAAAUGUUGGGUUAAGUCCCGCAACGAGCGCAACCCUUAUCCUUUGUUGCCAGCGGUCCGGCCGGGAACUCAAAGGAGACUGCCAGUGAUAAACUGGAGGAAGGUGGGGAUGACGUCAAGUCAUCAUGGCCCUUACGACCAGGGCUACACACGUGCUACAAUGGCAUAUACAAAGAGAAGCGACCUCGCGAGAGCAAGCGGACCUCAUAAAGUAUGUCGUAGUCCGGAUUGGAGUCUGCAACUCGACUCCAUGAAGUCGGAAUCGCUAGUAAUCGUAGAUCAGAAUGCUACGGUGAAUACGUUCCCGGGCCUUGUACACACCGCCCGUCACACCAUGGGAGUGGGUUGCAAAAGAAGUAGGUAGCUUAACCUUCGGGAGGGCGCUUACCACUUUGUGAUUCAUGACUGGGGUGAAGUCGUAACAAGGUAACCGUAGGGGAACCUGCGGUUGGAUCACCUCCUUACCUUAAAGAA